AGGGAGGUGAACGUGUGUCCUGUGAGCUGCAGAGGUAGCCGGCAGGGAUGACUUAUACACUCCCCUCGAUGGGUGACCUCCAUUCACUCUUCCUCCCCGCCUCUCCGCCUGAUGAGAAACAGAAUGUGCUCCCUCCCCCCUGGGAGGCUUCAGAUUCAUUUUCUGCUCAGACACCGUUGCUUGCAAAAUUCCACCCAGAAGAUAAGGGAGGGAGUAUCGCUGCAGCGUCCUGCUCUGUGCCUGGUUAUAUUACUGGAUCCUUGUGUUGCAGCCCUAAGAUAGAAGGAUUGUCUCCAUUUCACAGAUGAGAGAGAACUGAUGCGCAGGAGGCUGAAAUUGUCUGAAGUCACACAGCAGCCUCCUCUUAAACAUGACAAAGAAUCCAAGGACUUGUGCUGGGGCUGUCAGCUGCUAUUCUGGUGCCCUGGGGACGAAGAAGGGAUCUGGAGGGAAGACUGUCACCCUCUUGCGAAUGUUUCCAAGAAGCAGCUCAGCAUGGGAGAGAAAAGGGGAGAUCCCAGUUCCAGGAACACCUGGCCAGUGUUUCACCUGUUUAUCGGAGUUGACAGGACCAGCCAGCCCUUUCCCACCUCUCCCCAUCAUGAUGGAUGGGAGCCUGGCCUUUGAGAUUCCUGCGAAGGAAUGACAAAGAACAUCAAGGCUCAAUCCUUGGAACUCUCCAUCACUCAUCUUUAAAUUAGACUUCUCUGCUGACUCUCAGAGUUGUGUAUGCUGAGAAUCCACUGCCUCUAAGACAUCCUGCUUGGCAGGUAACAGACAUUUCAUCCUGAGCUGAGCUCCUGCCCACCCCGCCCACACACAGACCCCUUCUUGCCCACAGAUUUCCCAUCUCAGCCAAUGGCGAGUCCAAAAAUCCUUUGUGUCCCCUUUGAUUCUUAGGUUCCUAUCUCCCUUCGACUGAGGCAUCGUUUCCAAAUCAGACACUUCUCGUCACCACUAUUGCCCUCCCCUUGUCCAACCCACCUUUGGCUCUUGGCUGGAGUCCGAAAGCACAGAACGUGGCACGUUGGAGGAAAUCAGUAAGUGUUUGCUAAAGGUCCAACAAUGAAACAGAACAGAUAUAUCCAGUGCUAUGCCGCGUCAAAAGAGUAUGAGAGGUAUUGUGGUGAUGCUUUUGAAUGCUAAUCAGAAUAAGGAGGGUGACUAGUCCAUAGUUAUAUAGAAUAUAGGAUAUACAGAAUAUACCUUUUUCUGUAACGGGAUGUGUCACUUAACUUUGUUCCUUAAAGCUCCAGAAGCCCAAGGUCACCCACAAUGAUUCAAGUAUUAUCAAUGUUGAGAGCCUGUAAAAGCAUCAAGUAUAUUAUAGUUUCCAAAAAAUUGUGAAUUAGACUGAAAACCAGCAUUUAAAAAAUAAAGUGAUGUUGACUUAAACACUGGUUUUAUAUACAUGCCGCAUAUGAGCUGUGGAGGCCGCUCACAUGCCAGCGUACUGGUUCAUCUGCAAUGGGCAGGCGGGCCAUACCCCACUGGGGAGAAAUCUUAUGGGCUUCAGAAAUGUCUAAUGAAAUAAGAUUUUUAACUAGUUCAAAAUCGGAGUUCAGAAACAGUUCAGUUAAUAUUUAAGUGUCGAGUUAAGAGAGGAGGUUGAACAAAAUUCAUUUUGAAGCUUUCACAGAGUUUUUAAAAAGCAAAACUUUAGACUUAAAAUGGACUGUUUUAUUAUAUGCAAUGCACGUGAAUAUUAAAUGUAUGUUAAGUUUUUCAUUUAGCAGAUUUCUCCCCAGACUUUUAAAACCACCACCAAAAAAUAUUUACAUAUUCUCUCCUCUCCCCCAAAGCAUCCCUCCCGUACACAAAUACCCUUAUUUUGAGACCGUGUUGCUCUAGAUUAAACCAGUUCUUCCAAGAGCAGCCCGUAGGAUUCUGCUCCAUCCAGAGCAAGGCCCUUGGCUAAAGUCACUGCCUCUGCUUGACUGAGCCGGGCUGGGAAUCUCAUUAUGGAAGCUUUCCACCUCCUUCCCAAGCCAGCCCUCUAGCGGAGGCCAAGAUUGCGUCAUCGGUCCUGGGCCUCAUCCCUCCUUGCCUGAGGCCUGCUCACCUAAUGUGUUUCAGGAGCAUUCCAGCAGCCAGGCCUUCAGUUGCUCCCCGAUCCCAGAUGGGGAAAACCUUGUGCGGCACAUUUGCCUCAGGAAGACUGCACUGGGCUCCCCGGCGCCCCUAGGACAGCGUCCCUUCACGUCGGAGAGACUGGGUGUGGGCCGUGAGGUUUAGGAGGCUUUAGGAGAAGGAAGAUCCUCUCUCAGGAGUGAAAUGAUCUUAUCUGAGAGGAUGGAAGUGGUGAGGGCAUCAGCAUGGGUCCUGGGCUGCGGCUGUGCCUCUUCCUCCCCAUGCUGACACGUGCUUGCCCACAAGCGCCCCGGGCCUCUACAUCUCUUGGUAGUUUAAAGCUCUAUUUUAGUCUCAACUAGCAGUUUCUCUCACUGGUAGAUCUAAGUUCUAAGACUAUUCAAUGGGUUCUGUUUCUUUUUUUAAGAAUUAAAAAAACUGUUCCAGUUAAUUCACGGUCACUAUGAAAAAAAUAGGCAGGACAUGUAAAUAAAAGAUUAAAAUAUAUACAAAUCAAAGAAGGAAGUACACCCAGGCCAGUUAUCAGGCAAGCUUGCCAGACAUCAAUCCAGCAAGAAAACGAUAGUGUGCUUUGAAAAUGCCAAAUCCGGCCGGGCGGGCGGCUCCCGCCUGUGAUCCCGGCACUUUGGGAGGCCGAGGCGGGCGGAUCACGAGGUCAGGAGAUCGAGACCAUCCUGGCUAACACGGUGAAACCCCGUCUCUACUAAAAAUACAAAAAAUUAGCCGGGCGUGGUGGCGGGCGCCUGUAGUCCCAGCUACUUGGGAGGCUGAGGCAGGAGAAUGGCGUGAACCCGGGAGGCGGAGCUUGCAGUGAGCCGAGAUGGCACCACUGCACUCCAGCCUGGGCAACAGAGCAAGACUCUGUCUCAAAAAAAAAAAAAAAAAAAAAGAAAAAGAAAAGAAAAUGCCAAAUCCGGCCAGGUGCGGUGGCUCAUGCCUGUAAUCCCAGCAUUUUGGGAGGCCAAGGCGGGUGGAUCACCAGAAGUCAGGAGUUCAAGACCAGCUUGACCAACAUGGAGAAACCCCGUCUCUACUAAAAAUACAAAAUUAGCUGGGCAUGGUGACGCAUGCCUGUAAUCCCAGCCACUCGGGAGCCUGAGGCAGGAGAAUCACUUAAACCCAGGAGGCAGAGGUUACUGUGAGCCAAGAUCGUCCCAUUGCACUCCAGCCUGGGCAACAAAAGUGAGACUCUGUCUCAAAAAAAAAAAAGAAAAAAGAAAGAAAAAAAGAAAAUGCCAAAUCCAUUACUUCUUUGGGAACCUCAGGUGUAACCGCUGGUGUGCUGUGGAUGACACAGCAUCACUGGGAUCUGGUGCCUGGUAUGAGCUGUGUGAAGGAGUAGGAGUGUGCUCACCCAUCCGCAGGGCCACCGUUGGUCACUGUCCUACAUUUUCC
rnacentral:lncRNA from 1 species